AUUGAACGCUGGCGGCAGGCCUAACACAUGCAAGUCGAGCGAGCGGCGGACGGGUGAGGAAAGUAUGGGAACCGCCCGAUAGAUGGGGAUAACUAAGGGAAACGGUAGCUAAUACCGCAUAAUAUGGGAUAACCGAUUGGGGAUUAGCUAGUAGGUGAGGUAAUGGCUCACCUAGGCGACGAGCCCUAGCUGGUCUGAGAGGAUGAUCAGCCACACUGGGACUGAGACACGGCCCAGACUCCUACGGAGGCAGCAGUAGGGAAUAUUGCACAAUGGGCGCAAGCCUGAUGCAGCAAUGCCGCGUGUAUGAAGAAGGCCCUAGGGUUGUAAAGUACUUUCAGUCGAGAGGCGUUACCGACAGAGAAAGCACCGGCUAACUCCGUGCCAGCAGCCGCGGUAAUAC
rnacentral:rRNA from 1 species